UGGUAGAAAUGAUGAGUUUCUUGUUGAUACCGCCCCAGUCUGAGAACCAAUGACUGAAUGGUAUCCCCCUCUGAUCACAU
rnacentral:snoRNA from 1 species